rnacentral:rRNA from 1 species
GACGUACGCUGGCGGCGUGCUUAACACAUGCAAGUCGAACGGAAAGGCCCUGCUUUUGUGGGGUGCUCGAGUGGCGAACGGGUGAGUAACACGUGAGUAACCUGCCCUUGACUUUGGGAUAACUUCAGGAAACUGGGGCUAAUACCGGAUAGGAGCUCCUGCUGCAUGGUGGGGGUUGGAAAGUUUCGGCGGCUGGGGAUGGACUCGCGGCUUAUCAGCUGGUUGGUGGGGUAGUGGCUUACCAAGGCUUUGACGGGUAGCCGGCCUGAGAGGGUGACCGGCCACAUUGGGACUGAGAGACGGCCCAGACUCCUACGGGAGGCAGCAGUGGGGAAUAUUGCACAAUGGGCGGAAGCCUGAUGCAGCAACGCCGCGUGCGGGAUGACGGCCUUCUGGUUGUAAACCGCUUUCGCCUGUGACGAAGCGUGAGUGACGGUAAUGGGUAAAGAAGCACCGGCUAACUACGUG